rfam:Triticum aestivum genome assembly, contig: Triticum_aestivum_CS42_TGACv1_scaffold_222999_3B
CAACUACUCCCUCUGUCCCAAAAUUCUUGUCUUAGAUUUGUCUAGAUACGGAUGUAUCUAAUACUAAAAUGUGACUUGAUACAUCCGUAUCUAGACAAAUCUAAGACAAGGGGACGGAGGGAGUACUUU